GUUCAUCUUCAGGGCAGGGUGAAAUUCCCGACCGGUGGUUAAAGUCCGCGACCUAGCAUUAGCUAGUUGAACUGGUGUAAUUCCAGUACCGACAGUACAGUCUGGUAUAUAGAAGAUUAGU
rnacentral:ncRNA from 2 species